UGAAGCUUGCUGAAACUGUAUUAAAAGAGGCGCGCGACGGUGUCAUCAGGUAGAUGAAAUGUGAACUGGAAUAUAAAUUUGCCGUUUGAAGCGGCGGGUCGACAUGCACGUUCGGUUGGGCAGCUCUUCCCAGGUUCCACUGACGCACAAAUGGUUCUUAGACCUUUACAUUCCUACAGCCCCACAUUUGACACCUCAAAAAUUUAAAGAUAACGUCCAGCCCAGGCAUCCCUCUGCACCG